AUUGAUUCAUUUUAUUUGAAAUUGCAUAUCGUUUGUAAGAAUUGUUUAAAGAGUUGUCACAUGUCAAUUUCUGUUUCUAUUGGAUUUAGAUGCUACCCUGUUUCUUUUAAUUUUUGGUUCUUUCUUAUGCUAGAAUAUGGGCUUCAGUAUGCUAUGUUACAUGAGUGCUUCAACUGGACCCUAGUACCUAGAUCAAGGCAGUGAUUUGGCAAGGUGAGAUUGCUUGAGUAAAUGCGGCUUUGGAUACAUUCAAGGCCAAAAGGGCAUUUCCUAUGCGCAUAAUUCGUGAGGAGGCAGCCAUGAUACGAUUGGAUAUGAGGUUGUUGUAUUCUGUCCCCUUGAGAAGACACAGGUACAUCUCAUUUUCUUGUGUCAUUAUUAACAGGCAACAGAUUCUCUCUUUUUUCUUUUCUUUUCCUUUUUAGUUAUCAAAAGUCACACUUGGAUGGUCAAAAUUUUGUGUUGAAUGUAAUUUUUGGUCUGUCCCAUCCAUGAAGUAGCCUGCCAGAUCAGAAGUCCCAACCACCACAAGUUUGUCUCAUGUAAUCUAAGAAGGGAUUUGAUAGAACUUACUACAAGUGCAUUAACAUCUAAUAUUAUCCUAUUUCUUUGCAUGAUAACAUUGUCAUAUUUAUAGACCCUUGUGCUGCAAUUCUUGUUCUC